GGGACGUUCGCCCAAUGGGUAGGGCAGCGGGCUUUUACCCCGUAAGAUGAGGGUUCGAAUCCCUUGCGUCCCA
rnacentral:tRNA from 1 species